GCUGGAUCCGAGCCGCGUCUGCAACCUACACCACAGCUCACGGCAACGCCGGAUCGUUAACCCACUGAACAAGGCCAGGGAUUGAACCCCCAACUUCAUGGUUCCGAGUCGGAUUCGUUAACCACUGCGCCACGACAGGAACUCCCUAUUUUAUCCAUUUUUGAAACUACAUGGUUAGUUGUGUAAAAGUUCAUGGCUGGUAUAGCUUCUUGGUGGACCACAUAUUUUAUCAAUAUGAAAUAUCCAUUUUUAUCCCUCAUGAUAUCUUUAAACUGUAUUAAUAUUUGCCAUUCCAACCUAAUUAGUUAUUGAACUAAUAUACAAAGUGCUUAGUCUCAUGCCUGAGCAAUAGAAAACAGACAAUAAAUGGUAGUUUCUGCUAUUAUCAUUCUCAUUAGCCUGUGUCCUUCUUGUGAAGGUUCUGGACUCUUUGGGGGACAAAGAGGAAAAGAAAGAACUGGAGGAAAAGAAAGAACUGAAGGAAAAGAAAGAGCAAUUGCCUCUUAGGCACUGCAUAGUGACACUUAGAGCUUCUUCUCCCCUGAACAAGGUGAUGGAAACUCCAGGGAAGAGAGGCCUCAGGCUUGGACAAAUCACCAGAAAGCCUGCCAAAAGAGGUCUCCUAAGCAGCCAAGAGAAUACAACAGAAACAGAUUUUCUUUUUGGAUUCUGGCCUUUCUGCUUUUGAGGCCCCACUGAAACUAGGAAGGGAAAAAAGCAAAACAAGGUCAGACCAGUAGUAGAUGUGUUUCCGUAUUUGGAAAGUUACAGUGAUCUCUUCAGAAGAGCUCCUUGGAUUUCAGCUCUUCUAGGCCUUUAAAAGCAAUGCCCAUGGCAGUGAUGAUUUUUCACCCCCAGUGCAAUUCUCAGCUCUGCCGAACUUGGAUGUGUUUAAGGAUGUGGUCUCACUGCCUCACUCCUCAUCCCUGUAUCCUUCAGAUGGGAAUGCAGAAACAUGCAGUUCAAUUGCUACAGGACCACGAGGCAAGCAAGCUUCAGGAUGGAUCUGACAGAAGACGGUAAGUCAGAGAAGUAGAAACAAUCUGAGUCUUUCAGAAUCUCAGUGACUUGCUGGAGCAAUGACCUUAGAUCUUGCCUUACAUUUGGACUGGUAGUUAAAUGAGUCAAUAUGCUCCCUUAGAGACCAGCUUAGAGGAAAUUCUAUUACCUAUCAAGAGCUAAAAAAUUUCUUCAGUAGGGACAAGGAGGGGAUGAACCUCAUGGAUGAGAGUAAAUUCAGUUCACUUCUGUAUAGACUCUGCUGGUCUUUCUGGUACAUUUAAACACAUCUUUCUUCAAUAAACAUACAGUAUGAAGAAUCUAGAAAAAUAUAAUGUUUUUCUUAUAGAUCCUCUAAGUAUCCUGUUAGAGUCAGCAUUCCUAUAUGGCUUCUAAAGGGUGACAGUUUUGAGCCAGACCGUAUAGAAAUCCUAGCUCCAACACUUCCUAGCAUGUGACCUUAGGUAAGGUAAUUAGCCUCUCUGUGCCUCAGUGUCCUCAACUACAAUGCUGGAUUAAUAAUAAUACCUAAUUAUCCCUAAUAGAGUUGUUGAGAUUAUUAAAAAAUUAAUAUGUGUAGAGAAUUUAGAAGUAUCCCUGUAUAGUAAAGGCUAAUAACAUUUAAAUAUUUUAUUGUUAAGAAUAUUUCAAAGAGACCUAAUUAUUAGUAAUAAUAUAUACCAAUGUGGUUUUGGUAUAUUUAUUACUAUAUUACCUGACAU
rnacentral:lncRNA from 1 species